CACACAUCAAGAAAAACUACUGGGCAGCCCAGGGCUUUUCCUGGUCAAAGAGCUGGAUUCUUUCACGCAAGGCAUUCCUAGGACUGCUCAGCUUGCCCGAAGUGGAGAUGCAAAUGGGUGAGAGAGGAGAAGAACACAGCAGUUAGCGAGACCAAGGGAAUAUUCACACUGGAAACACUGUCUGCCACACACUCCCGUCAACGUGCCUUCUGGGUGCCUGGCUUCAUUUCUGCAAAGCUAUAGCAUGUGGACCAAGCAGACAGAGGCAUGGGCCACCCACUCUCAGAGAUGUGGGAAAAUGAAUCGGAAUAACAAGAGAAAAUGAUUCCAAACAGAAGAGGAAAGUGACGAUGUGAUGAAAAGGAAAAGAGAUUGGGAUUUGAUGGAGAGUCACAAAGUCACAAUGAUGCGCUCUUUUUUAAUGGAUGAGGAAACUGGAGCUCAGGGUUUGAGUCACUGACCUAAGUGAUCACCAACUGCUGUGGCUCAGAGUGCCCUGCCGGAGGACCAAAAUAAUGAGUCCAAAUGGAUCUGCCUGACCUUGAACUGGAGCCUCCAAAAUUCUGAGCAUAAAUAAAAUGUUUUUCUCUAUAAGUUGCUUACGUCAGAGAUUUCUUUAUGGUGAUGGAAAGCAGACUAAUACAUCACCAGAGAAUGGUCAAUGGAUUGGUGAUACCCUGAUAAACAAUACUCAGUUUGUUCAAUACUGCAUCCUCAGCUCUUAACGUAGCAUUUGGUAGAUAGCAACCUCUAAUACAUC
ensembl:lncRNA